rnacentral:rRNA from 1 species
UACGGGGGUGCAAGCGUUGUUCGGAAUUACUGGGCGUAAAGCGUGCGCAGGCGGUUCUAUAAGACAGAUGUGAAAUCCCCGGGCUUAACCUGGGAACUGCGUUUGUGACUGUAGGACUUGAGUAUUGGAGGGGGUGGUGGAAUUCCACGUGUAGCGGUGAAAUGCGUAGAUAUGUGGAGGAACACCAGUGGCGAAGGCGACUUUCUGGACUGUAACUGACGCUGAGGCGCGAAAGCGUGGGGAGCAAACAGGAUUAGAAA